AGUCACUAGACGAAUUCGAAUCGCCAUACAAGGUUUUGCAAACCUCUGCUCUAACCAUUAAGCUAUAGUGAC
rnacentral:tRNA from 1 species